CCUACGGGGGCUGCAGUGGGGAAUAUUGGACAAUGGGCGAAAGCCUGAUCCAGCCAUGCCGCGUGUGUGAAGAAGGCCUUCGGGUUGUAAAGCACUUUCAGUGGGGAAGAAAGCCUUGGGGCUAAUACCCUCGAGGAAGGACAUCACCCACAGAAGAAGCACCGGCUAACUCCGUGCCAGCAGCCGCGGUAAUACGGAGGGUGCGAGCGUUAAUCGGAAUUACUGGGCGUAAAGCGCGCGUAGGCGGUCUGAUAAGCCGGUUGUGAAAGCCCCGGGCUCAACCUGGGAACGGCAUCCGGAACUGUCAGGCUAGAGUGCUGGAGAGGAAGGUAGAAUUCCCGGUGUAGCGGUGAAAUGCGUAGAGAUCGGGAGGAAUACCAGUGGCGAAGGCGGCCUUCUGGACUGACACUGACGCUGAGGUGCGAAAGCGUGGGUAGCAAACAGGAUUAGAUACCCCAGUAGUC
rnacentral:rRNA from 1 species